rnacentral:tRNA from 1 species
CGAAACGUAGCUUAAUUAAAGCAUCUCGCUUACACCGAGAAAAUGUGUGUGAAAACCAAACCGAUUCGAG